rnacentral:lncRNA from 1 species
UUUUUUUUUUUUUUCACUUUAUUCAAGCUCUGCUGUUGUGUUCUUUAAAAGAAAAUUUCAGAAGUAAAAAAAAUAUUUUCGACUGUCAGGUGUGCUUGAAAGUUCAAUAGACAUAAAAGACACAGCCAUUGCUGCCAACUAAAGAUGAAAAGGUGUAAUGAAGGGUCUGCUAGCCCAUAUUGUCAGGAAAAGGAAGUAGGUGUGUCUUGUAAAAUUUACAUUGCUUUAAAAACAUAAUUUGGAGGUGAUUUGAAAUGUGAGUUGCCUGAUCAUCAGUGGGAAAAGCAACAUAUGCAGGAAUCAAAUAAAUCUCCAAGUGAAAAAUAAAGAUGUUAAAAGCAGCAGAAUUUCAGAUUGAAUUCUGACUCUUUAAAUUGCUUAUCUAACAGUGAAAGGCAAUUUGGGUGAGAGAACAAAACAAGACCUUUGGAAACUAUGUGAAGAGAGAUUAGAGUGGGGUUGCUUUAGUUAAAAAAAAAAAGGAAAAACUGGUUAGGAUGACGUAACCAUGUUUCAAUACAAAAACUGCUACAUGAAUGCAAGUGAUUAAUCAUUGUACUAUCAAGCAAUAGGCUGCUCUAGCUUUAGAGCAUAAAGGAAGAAUAGUUAUGCUGGAUAAAACUGGAGGUUUAUUUAGCUGGCUAUCUGGCUUUUGACAAUGAUCAAAGUAUAUGCUUAGGGAAAAACAUAAGAUUAUAAAACACACAAAGUAAUACUUACCCCCAGGUAUGCUAAACCUUCAACAUUUUUAACUCUGAGAAUGACAAAGGGAAUAUGAUUUUAUGUAUCUAAUAGUCUUAAAUAGUCUUGUUCAAGAGCUUGGCAACUUAUUUUUUCAACUCCCAGAAAUCUUGAACAGUGACACAUUCCUGUGUAACAUGUAGUUUUUCAGCUUAAUGAUACACUGUCUGAAAAAUGAUUUUUUGUUUGUUGUGAACUUCUACUUGCUUGCCUAAUUUAAUCCUCUCCAGUACUUUUCCUGAAAGAGAUAUUAACUCAUCAAUCCCCAUCCAUGCUUCUCGGUUCCACUCAUAUCCUUACAUAACAUCAGGAGUUGUGCCAUAGGCAUUUGAGGCUUGUACGUUUUGCUACUUUAUUAAUCAUAUGUCAGCAAGGUUUGCAAAAAAAAAAAAAAAAUGUUGCUCUGAGCAUGCCUAUAUUUUAUUUCUCUCAAUAUCGUGAGAAGAGGAUUUUUUUUCUUAAGACACAUUAUUUUAAUCUGUCUCCUUUUGCUGUAGCGGGUCACCUACAAGAUAUACCUAUUCUGUACAAGACCAAAGUUCUAGAAAGGUUUGUGUGUCAUGCUUCUAAAGCACUAAACAUUGAGCUGAAUAGAAUCUUGUGAAUCCUAUUUAUUCACUG